ACGGGGUGCAGCAGGCGCGAAACCUUUGCAAUGUGCGAAAGCACGACAAGGUUAAUCCGAGUGUCUCCCGCUAAGGGAGUCUUUUGUCAGUUCUAGAACCACUGGUGAAUAAGGGGUGGGCAAGUUCUGGUGUCAGCCGCCGCGGUAAAACCAGCACCUCGAGUGGUCAGGAGAUUUAUUGGGCCUAAAGCAUCCGUAGCCGGUUGCAUAAGUUUUCGGUUAAAUCUAUGCGCUUAACGUAUAGGCCGCCGAAAAUACUGUGCAGCUAGGGAGUGGGAGAGGUACACGGUACUCAAUAGGAAGGGGUAAAAUCCUUUGAUCUAUUGAUGACCACCUGUGGCGAAGGCGGUGUACCAGAACACGUUCGACGGUGAGGGAUGAAAGCUGGGGGAGCAAACCGGAUUAGAUACCCGGGUAGUCCCAGCUGUAAACGAUGCAGACUCGGUGAUGCAUUGGCUUGUGGCCAAUGCAGUGCCGCAGGGAAGCCGUUAAGUCUGCCGCCUGGGAAGUACGUACGCAAGUAUGAAACUUAAAGGAAUUGGCGGGGGAGCAC
rnacentral:rRNA from 2 species